CUUGGAGAUGAGCUGGCAUGUUUAUGAGCCUGGGCACUGCUGAGGGAAUAGCUGCCAGCACUGUGCUACACCGAGGCUGGCUCUGUUCACCUCUCAUGUCACCUCCUGCUGAAGCCCCAGGCAUUAGUCAAGAUGGUUUUGGUUAAUG